rnacentral:RNase_P_RNA from 2 species
GCAGAUCCAAGGCCGCGAAGCUCGCCCCACACAGGGCUUGUCCCUUUCUCGCGAGCGGGCCAAGGUCUGAGUGAUGCAUCCACGACAUAUCCAGCUGGUAUCGGCUGUAAUAAGUCGCGCGACGCACCAGAAAAUCCGGCAGAUGACGUCCCCGUCCCUACGACAAUUGUCGUGGCGAGAGGAACUCUCAAGGAUCCCUUGGUGUCAUCUCGCCGCUGAAAGCGUCACGAUGCCUAGGCAUGCCCUCGGGCACACUGGUGUACCCAUCCCUGCCUUGCCUUGCCUCUGUUCACGCUAGCUGGCCAGGGGAAGGAAACCGCCCUUCGUGCUACGUGAAGGCGUCAGUGCGGCAGGCUGCCGUCCCAAUGGUCCGGGAUGACAGCUUCCCUGACGUUCGGAACCGUCGCACAUUGCUCUCCCGUAUCUAUCCCGGUGUGUAUGGGUCACACUCAUCGCGUCGCGCAGCGUACGCAUGUCGCCGCUUCGGUGGCGCUCCCUGAACCCUUGGCGCGGGCAGAGGCGUGCGUAGGCUCGCGAGCUUUUGCUGGAGGGCUACAGGGAUGAAAGGCUCAAUGAACGGACGCUAUUGUACCUUGGAGGCAAGGGGGCAGAUUCGGGAGGAUAUCGAUGUGUGGUCCAUGGUAUGUCCUUGAGUGCAAUUCGCGGCGCGUCUGUCUCCCCGGCCCUCGGAGACGGCGUAACUCGAUUCAGACUACUCUGGGUCUGC